GGGAAGGGGGCGGAGAAGGUUAGCCCGGCCGCGGGGCGGGGAGCUUGCCCACGCGUGCGACUCCGGGCGGAGGAGGCGCCGUGGGACAACAGCGUCCUCGCAUCCCCUGGUCACGCCGAGGGCUGAGCCUGCGAGUGCUCACCUGGACCCCUCUUGUUUUACAGAAGGGGAAACUGAGGCCGAGAGACACCCCCCCCCCAUCACCUCCCAGGCCACCCCACAAGCCAGGAACAGGACUCCGGGCCACUAGGCUUUCUGCCUUUCCACGAUGUCUCUUAAAAUCAAUCUCAAAUCUGCAGAGUUUCUUUUUUAAUACGCCUCGGACACGUUAGAGCCACUUGGUAUUCUGAAGGCAGGCAGAACCCGGAGGAAAACGCCAGGCACUCCACACGAGUUUUGGGUGGGGAUGGGCUGGCGGCAGUGUGAGCCUCGCAGCCCUGCGGCUCCGAGGGAGGGGUCGCGAAGGGGUGUUUCACUCCCAGGAAGCCGCUGCUCCCGUGCAGGGCCCCCACCUGGCCGGCAGAGGAGCAUUUGUCUGUACAAUCCGUGUCAAGGGACAGUUCAUCCCUUUUAGGAUAGACAGUAGGUUGGGAGAGGCCUGUCAAGAAUAAGGAGCCACAACCAGUUAUAUUUUAAGAACACUUUCCUAGUUGAUUUGGCCUCUUACACUUGGCGGGAAAAUCACUGAUGCCCUCCAAGAGAAUGACCUAUGGUUUAAAGCCAUCGUGCUCCCUGAGCACCAACUCUUUCUGAGGCUGGAAGCCGUGGAGGGACCCACCGGCAGGAAGCAGUCAGCAAAGUGGGCCUCACUGAGUGGCCUCAAGGGCAGGACUUCAUGGUCUGAGUCAGCGAGCUUCGUUUCUGGCUGCCCAUCUGAAUCCUACUCACGCUGACGUUGGAACUCGCCCAAGACAUAGGGAACCAGAAUCUCUGGGGCUCCAUAUUUUCAAACGGCUCUCAAGUCAAAGCUACUUCCCAGCGCAGCCGCCUCAAACCGUUGCCUUUGGGUCUUCAGCAACACGAGCUCCUUGAGAGGGCUGGUUUGCGAGACGCUAUUUCCUAGACACCAGACAGAAAAAUGUAAGCCAAGCACGGGAACGUCUGGGCUCGUGGUGACCAUCUUCGGCGUCACGCGAGAGCGUCUGUCUGGCACCUCGUAGGCUGGGGAAACAGGCGUGAAGCAGCCAGCGCUUCUGGGGGUUUCGUAUCUGGAGUGUAGCAAAUGCUACCUAGGACAUCGUGCUAUCCGGGUGCGACUGGCUAAGGGGCAAUUGUGUCCGUUUGUCCGCAAGACCACUCGUGCUGUGUGGUCCUAAGUGUGCUGGUCGACCACACGCCCACCCCAGAUUCUCUGCCUGACUCCUGGACCUUUGGCUACAACCACAGUGGGAAAGGGAGGUACUGGGUGGCCCUGGAAGGGAUGAAUGAAUGAAAGGGUAGAGCUAGGGAGGAGAGUGUCACCAGCUACAUGAGAAUCAACAGCUUGGAGACCUUCUAUAACUCCCAGAUCACCCUGGGCCCGCCCCCCCCCCCCCCCAAAUCCUUCAAUGUGCUGUCAUCAGUUUGUCAUUUUGGAUUUUAUUAAA